UACAACAAUGAUGAUAAGGGGUUUGAAAAUUUCAUUUUGCCAUUUCACACAAAUACUAAUUGUUAAGUAUGCGAUUCAUGAUACAAAAAUAACAUACAGUGUGAUUUCCUCAAAACAGCUUUUACGUGAUGGACAGUGGCUCUGACUUUUUCCCAUUCACAAGGCCAAAGGGACAAUUUCUUAGUUUUGAGGUAACACUUUUUGGAAAGCUACCACAUUUUUCUACCUUUUUAAAGAAAAAACUCACCGUCAUGGGCCUUGUUACCGACGAAACCGGUCCGUGGUGCUACCGGUCCGAGCGGCGGCCACGCCCCAGACAACUGUUACUUUUUACUUGUUUGUGUUUUUACUCUGCGCUUUUACUCGGCGCUAGAGGCACUUCUAAUGACUUUUGCUUUCGUUUCCUGACCUGUAUACUGUGCUUUCGCUUUCACCCGUCGGUUAAAAGCCGGCGGCUGUGCGUGUGAUAGCAGUGCAACGACGGGACCCGAACGAGGCGCACGGUGAGCGCCUCAGUCCCUGUGCUCGUAGUACCUCGACGGGACCGAAAGAGGCGCACAGUGUCGCGCCUCAGUCCCUGUGCUCCUGGUCGUUCGGCGAAGGGGUGCGGCUGCGGCGCACCCACGAAUUCUCGACGGUGUGCUGCCACCCCGACGCACCGGUAUCGGCCGGAUAUUCGUUUUUCUUCUCAAGCUAUUUCUACAUUUAUCGGCAAGUGAUUUGAUUUCGGCCCUUUAUAAUAAACUCUUAUCUAAAACUCUUCUACGAACAUUGUUACCGGCAUAGUGCGACUGUGUCGGGAACAAAUUGGUCCUCCGGGCCGGAUACUAUCGAACUAGUGUUCGGAACAGUGUACAACGAACUGCAGUGAUGAGCACGCGGUCGGAGAGGCGAGCAACAAGCAAGGCCGAAACCCGCAGCGAGGCGGAGUGUUCGGCAACGUCAUCGGCAUCGCGUAUCAACGAACUGCGAAUCAAGACCGAACUCGCCAGGCUCAAGGUAGCCCAGGUGGAGAGAGCCGCCACCGCUCAGGCGGCUGCCCAGGUUCAGGCUGCCCGGGACGAGGCCGAGCUGAAUGAGCUGGAGCUCAGGCUCGAGGAGGAAGCACUGGAGCAUGACGGGGAGAGCAGAGCGCCCUCCCAGUUCCAGUCGGCGCUCCUUCGUCAGGGAGCCUCAGCGGUCGCGCCGAGCCCGCCCAGUGACGUCACUAGAGAGCGGACACUUGGCUGGAUCGAGCAGCUCUCCGACAGGCCGCGGUCGGACGACCGACCAGCGAGACAUCACACGGAUUCGGCGCUCCCGAAGCUCAAGCUCGACCAGUUCAGCGGCUCGCCGCUGGAAUGGCCCCGCUGGAGCUCACUCUUCAGAGCGCUGGUGCACAACCACCGGGGCCUGACCGACACGGAGAGGCUGGCUCACUUACAGUCGUGUCUGACCGGUGAGGCCCGAGAGGCGGUCAGCGGUCUGCUCUGCGAUGCAGACAUGUACACCGAGGCGCUCAGUGAGCUGGAGCGUCAGUUCGGCAACCCCGGCCACGUCGUUCGUGCUGCCAUGAACCGACUGCUGACCGUGCCACCGACGAAAGACAACGAUCUCAGCUCACUACGAUCCCUAUCGACGGCCCUGCACAGCGCAGUGAUGGUGCUGAGCUCACUCAGCUACGACGCCGACCUAGCAGCGACUGCGAACCUCCAGCAGGUCGUGGCCAAGCUGCCCCGUGCCCUGUCAUGGCGCUGGGGAGAGCACGCCAUGACCCUUCGACCGGCCGCCCCGACUCUGGUCGACCUGGAUAGGUGGCUCAGAAGGCACGUCGACGCCGGCCGAUUGGUCGCUGCAGAAGAGGACGUCAGUCCGACGAAACACGGCAAGCCCGUCUCAGCCCCUGCCACUCGCCCCCGGCGCAACGUGCUGACAGUGACGGCCAAGUCUGCACGGCAGCAGGCCGCACAGCCAACAAAUCCGUGUGAGCAGUGCAGUGGCCCACACACGGUGGUUAAGUGCCCCCAAUUUGCGACCAACUCGACCGACAAAAGAGCUGAACUAGUGAGGGACAAGGGUCUGUGCUGGGUGUGCCUUCAGCGCGGACAUCGAGCGCGUGACUGCCCCGACAGAACACCGUGUGAUGCUGUCCCGGACUGCAAGGCGCGACACCACUCGCUCCUCCAUGGCGCCCCUCGCCUGUUCAAGCCACGCCCAGCGACAACACCAGCCUACGAUGCCGACAAAAACUACGUCGGCGCCACCAAUGGACAGACCAGUACCAGCGUGCUGCUCCAGAUUCUGCCGGUGAUCGUCCGCGGUCCCGGCGGCGAGCGGAUUGUGAACGCCCUCCUCGAUCUCGGCAGCCAGGUGUCGCUGAUGACUGAGCAGCUGGCGGCUGACCUGGGACUGAGUGGACCAGACGAGCCACUGUGUUUGGGCACGGUGGCAGGCAGCUCCAUGCAAGCUUCGAAACGCAUCGAGCUACGAAUCCAGCCACGUGACGGCGCCAGAGAGUAUGUAAUUCAAGGUGUCCGUACUACGCCCAAGAUAAACGUAGCCGGUUCCGCAUUGAACUGGCCAAAGACUAAAUCAAAGUGGCCUCAUUUGGCAGACCUCAAUCUGGCCCCGGUUUCUUCAGAGCCGGUCAGAGUGCUCAUCGGUGCAGACGCCAUGGACCUUAUUAUGCCACUGACAGUGCGCCGAGGACCCGCCGAAGCCCCAUGGGCCGUUCACACUCUGCUCGGCUGGGUUGUGACCGGGAAGCUCCCGGAGAGUGUCUUGGGCGGCAGCGCGCAACACGUUACCACAUUGACAAUCACGGAAGAUGCUAGCCUGCACGAAAGGUUAAGCAGCUGGUGGUCCACCGAAUCAUUCGGCACGAAAUACGCAUCGGCCCCGAAACGCUGUAAGCAGGACGAGGCGGCGAUACAGCUACUCGAAAGCACCACGAAGCGGGCCGGCGGACGAUAUGAAACUGGCCUGCUGUGGAUGUCGGCAGACGUACGCCUCUCCGGGAAUUUCAGCGGUGCCCUGUCCAGGCUUCGGUCUAUCGAACGCAAGCUGGACCGCAACCCUGCACUGGCAGAUGCCUACGAAUUGACCAUCAGCGAGUACAUUCGAAAGGGCUAUGCCCGAAAGCUGCUACCAGCCGAGCUGGCCGUGCAGCACGAGCGGGAGUGGUACCUCCCACACCACGCCGUUACAAGCCCAAACAAACCGGGGAAAAUACGCGUAGUGUUUGACGCUGCUGCUCGCUUCAACGGAGCGUCUCUUAACGACCAUCUGCUGACGGGGCCGGACCUGACGAACAACCUAGUCGGCAUCCUCAUGCGCUUUCGCCAGCGUCCAGUCGCCCUCACCGCCGACAUAGAGGCGAUGUUCCAUCAGGUACGCGUCCGGCCAGCCGAUCAGCCUGCCCUGCGGUUCCUGUGGCGCGGCUUUGACCGAGAGAGGCCACCAGACGUGUACCAGAUGCAGGUCCUGGUCUUCGGAGCGGCGGCAUCACCCUGUUCAGCAACAUACGCACUGCAGAAGUGCGCCGACGACCAUCGAGACGAAUACCCGGCCGCCGCUACCGCCGUGCACACCCGUUUCUAUGUGGACGACUACCUGGACUCAUUCGAAGAUGAUGAAAGGGCGGCUGCAAUGCAGGCUGCUCUCAGCAAGCUGCUAAAAACUGGUGGCUUCAUUCUCAAGAAAUGGACCAGCUCGUCACCAGCAGCACUAAAGGCAGUCCCCGCUGCAGACUGCAGCGGCGACACACGUGACCUCGACCUGGACGGGUCACAGUACGAACGAACGCUGGGUGUCAGGUGGAACGUUUCAGCCGACAUGUUCACCUUCAAGUCAGCCGAUAGUGACACUCCAGUGACGAAGCGCGGCAUUCUGAGCGCAGUGUCGUCCAUCUUUGACCCACUGGGAAUGCUAGCGCCCUGGACCCUCCGCGCCAAAACACUGCUGCAGAACAUCUGGAGAAGCGGCUGUCAGUGGGACGAUCCACUCACAGACCGUCAGCUCACUAAUGCAUGGAGAGCAUGGGCCGGUGAACGGGCGCAGCUGCACCAGUUCCAACUCAGCCGGUGCUACCGAGACGGCCGUGAACCGCCAGUCAACUGUCAGCUCCACCUGUUCAGUGACGCCUCUGAGCUUGCAUUCGGAGUAGUCGCCUAUUUCCGACUCCAGUACCAAGACGGCAGAAUCAGUACGGCGUUCGUGAUAGCCAAAAAUCGAGUCGCCCCGCUUCGUCAGCUCAGUAUCCCGCGGCUGGAGCUGCAGGCCGCCGUGAUGGCUGUGCGGAUAGCAGAGUGCGUGCGGCGGGAGCAUGACAUCACGAUCGACUCGUGCCACUUCUGGUCAGACUCACAAACGGUCUUGCAAUGGAUAAAGAGCGAAAGUCGAACAUUCAAGACGUUUGUAGCGAACCGUGUCGCCGAAAUACAAGACACCUCCCUCCCAGAGGCCUGGCGUCACUGCCCGGGAGUCAUCAACCCGGCGGACGUGUGCUCGCGCGGCUGUGACAUACCAGCCCUGCUGGCAGAUGACCGCUGGCUGAGCGGACCACCGUUCCUCAGCCGCCCUCCUAGCGAAUGGCCGGCUGACGUGGCUGGCGACCAGGAGGGCCGGGCUGACCCCGCCGAUCAAGAACGACGCGCAGACGUCAGCGUCAAUGUCAUCGCGACAACUCCACAACUGGUGCCGCCGGCGAAGUUCUCAUCGUGGCUGCGACUGCGGCGCACCACCGCCUGGAUGCUACGCUUCGUGCAGAAUUGCCGGACACCAAACUCGGAACGGGCUACGGGAGCGCUGACGGCCGCCGAGCUGCAGGCAGCCGAGACGCUGUGCAUUCAGCAGGUGCAACAGGAAGCUUUUCCCGACGAGCUGGCUGCGCUGAAAACGGGCCGGCAGCUCCCGCGAGGCAGCAAGCUCAUCACUCUCCGACCGUUCCUGGACAGCAGUGGAGUGAUCAGGGUGGGCGGCCGACUACGUCACGCCGACUCUCUGACUCAUACCGCUCGACAUCAAGCCAUCCUGCCGUCACGUCAUGACGUCACAAGGCUCAUCGUCUCCGACUACCAUGGUCGUAUGGCCCACGUCGGCACAGAACAUGUGCUGAGUCGUCUGCGAGAGGCCUACUGGAUUCUGCGCGGCAGAGCGGCGGUGAAGGCGUACGCCUUCUCAUGCCCUGUCUGUAAACAGCGCCGCGCUGUACCCCGCCCACCUGUCAUGGCCGACCUGCCGGAAGCCCGUGUGACGUCACACUGUCCGCCGUUCACUCAGGUCGGAGUGGACUACUUCGGUCCCUUAACCGUGACCAAGCUCCGCCGUCACGAAAAACGCUACGGGUGUCUGUUUACCUGUAUGGCCACGAGAGCAGUGCACAUCGAAAUCGCCCACUCUCUCGAUACGGACUCGCUGCUGAUGUGCCUGAGGCGGAUGAUCGCGAGACGCGGACACCCAAAGGUCAUCCACUCAGACAACGGCACAAACAUGCGCGGUGGUGACAGGGAGCUCAGAAACUCCAUCCGGCAGUGGAACCAGCUGCAGAUAGCUGACGAGCUGUCACAGCGGCAGAUCGAGUGGAGAUUCAUCCCACCGGCGUCACCCCACUUCGGCGGCGCGUGGGAGCGGCUCGUCCGAUCAGUGAAAACUGUCCUUCGGUCCGUCGUGGGCCAGCAGGUACUCACUGAUGAAACUCUGCAGACGUUCAUGGCCGAGGUGGAGGCGCUGCUGAACAGCCGCCCACUAACCCACGUCAGCAGCGAACCGGACGACCUGGAGGCGCUGACUCCGAACCACCUGCUGCUGGGACGAGCUAGCCCCAAUCUGCCGCCGGGCGUCUUCUCCGAGACCGAUCUGUCGUCUCGGAAACGAUGGCGACACGGGCAGCGACUCGCCGACGAGUUUUGGCGCCGCUGGCGCCGCGAGUACCUGCCCACCCUGACGGCCCGGCGGAAAUGGACGACAGAGGAGGGGAACCUCAAACCCGGCGAGCUGGUUCUCGUGGCUGAGGAUAACGCUCCUCGCGGCAUGUGGGCUCUGGCCCGCGUAUUGCGGCCGAUCGUCGGCACAGACGGCCGUGUGCGCGCUGCGGUCGUCAAGACCGCUUGCGGGGAGCUGACCAGACCCGUUACUCGCCUAUGCGUUCUGGAGCGAUCAAAAUAAUCCAUGCAUAGCAGCAACAUGCGUUCCAUGUACCUGUAAAUAUGUAUAUAGUCGUUUCGCCGGUGUUCCUAUUGAGAUUUCGCUGGCAAAAUCUGGGCCGGCUAUGUUACCGACGAAACCGGUCCGUGGUGCUACCGGUCCGAGCGGCGGCCACGCCCCAGACAACUGUUACUUUUUACUUGUUUGUGUUUUUACUCUGCGCUUUUACUCGGCGCUAGAGGCACUUCUAAUGACUUUUGCUUUCGUUUCCUGACCUGUAUACUGUGCUUUCGCUUUCACCCGUCCGUUAAAAGCCGGCGGCUGUGCGUGUGAUAGCAGUGCAACGACGGGACCCGAACGAGGCGCACGUAUGAUAUAAAGAAGAGUUGUUAAUUCACUGCCAUAGCCACGGCUAUAUUGAACUCUUAACUUAAAACCUUGAUUGAUUUUGAAGACUAGAGGUCACCAAGUGAGAAUUA